GGGGGCGUGUCACCACACCGGGUGGCAUUGGUGACGAAGGGCAUGUGGAGCCAGAACAGAAGAGAACAGCCUGUGUUGAGUGAAUCUGCCUUUCGGGCUUCUGGGCACAGAUUGAUGAGGACUGACACAUAUGGGCUAUGUGGCCUCAUAGGGUCACCAGGAGCAUCAGCUGGGCUAAGGGAAGCUGUCUAGCCCAGCGGGCCCCUGGGACCUCAUUCUGUGUCUCCACUGGGUCUGCCUCGCUCCCUGGAAAAGCGAAUCAUCGUGAAUCACUUCCUCCCUGGGCCAAAAACCCAAAGCAUCCUUGACAACAUGCACCGGUGCUGGCAACCUACAGACCUUUUCAGAUGGGACAAGCCUCAAAUCAAUUUUCAUUUCUUCCAGGUGAGCUGCGGGCCUCUCUGCAAACUCGGAUCUUUCUCCAAAUGAUUCACAGAAACAAAUGCUCCCCGGAGGCAGAGGCGGGCCCACGCCUGUGUGCUGUGCUGGCAUCCCGCAACAUUAUUAAUUAAAUUUGAGACAAU